GCCAGUGCAAAACAGGUUUAUAAGACCAAAGUUAAUGUGUGAUCUAUUUGGUUGUAAAAUCAGCCACAUGGAAGGCCACAAGGACUACAGACGCAGGGGAUCCAACGUUCUUCUUUUCCACCUCUCAGUUCCUACGCACGGACAAUUCUCCUUUCCUCCUUCCGUGGACACACAUUGCAGCAAAGAGAAGGAAGAGAGAAGGGCACAUCCAUGGGAAAAGGAAAGGCUUCGUAGGGGGCUUGCUAGCUUCUGGGCACACUGGGAGCUGCGACCAGGAGACGACGCCGACAGGGGCGAGACGAACAGGGGCGAGACGGACAUGGGCGCGAUCGCAUAGGCGCUUAGCUAGCCAUGGCCCUGGCCAUGGAGGUUUGCCAUGCGAGGGGCACGGGGCUAGCA
rnacentral:misc_RNA from 1 species